AGGACAUAACAUCAGAGAGCGGCUCCUCUGCCCUCCAAAACAACAACUUUCCUACCAUCUUGGAGGCUCGUCGCUGAAGAUUUUUUUUUAAAUAAUCUGUAAAGAUCAACUCUCUGGAAAAAAAAUUUAAAGGAGACACACUGCUGUUCUUGGCAGGCUGUACAGACAGGAGUGCACAGGAGCAGCGAGAUGAAGGCUACUGCACCUGAAGGAGACUAGCAAUGCACCCGCUGAGAAGUUCUGCCAGUUGGCCACCAGGUGGAAGCAGGGCUGCACUUGGGGAAUUGCAGGAAUUGCUGCUCCUCCGGGGCUGCGCUCAGCUCCAAAACAAAGCCUAACAAAGCCCCUGCCCACGCCAGCAGAGUCGGGAUAACGGCACCCACCAGCCUCGCAUGUGGAGUGAGCUGCAUCAGCACGCUGACGGCUCAGGCAGUGUGAGCACCUGCCUGCUCAGCCCUUACCGUAACACCGGGAAAAAUACUCAGAGCGUGGUUAUCUCCACAUCCCACUUUUUCAUAAUUCUCUAACCUGAGGUUGCAGCUUCAGGACCGGCAAGUAGUGGCACUGACUGUGAACUUUUUCUCUUAAAUAAACAGAGGUAAGUUGUGUGAA